rnacentral:rRNA from 1 species
UCCCGUACUUCUGGUUGCUGCGAUGGAGGGACGGAGAAGGCUAGGCCAGCUUGGCGUUGGUUGUCCAAGUUUAAGGUGGUAGGCUGAGAUCUUAGGUAAAUCCGGGGUUUCAAGGCCGAGAGCUGAUGACGAGUCGUCUUUUAGAUGACGAAGUGGUUGAUGCCAUGCUUCCAAGAAAAGCUUCUAAGCUUCAGGUAACCAGGAACCGUACCCCAAACCGACACAGGUGGUCGGGUAGAGAAUACCAAGGCGCUUGAGAGAACUCGGGUGAAGGAACUAGGCAAAAUGGCACCGUAACUUCGGGAGAAGGUGCGCCGGCUAGGGUGAAGGAUUUACUCCGUUAGCUCUGGCUGGUCGAAGAUACCAGGCCGCUGCGACUGUUUAUUAAAAACACAGCACUCUGCAAACACGAAAGUGGACGUAUAGGGUGUGACGCCUCCCCGGUGCCGGAAGGUUAAUUGAUGGGGUUAGCGCAAGCGAAGCUCUUGAUCGAAGCCCCGGUAAACGGCGGCCGUAACUAUAACGGUCCUAAGGUAGCGAAAUUCCUUGUCGGGUAAGUUCCGACCUGCACGAAUGGCGUAACGAUGGCGGCGCUGUCUCCACCCGAGACUCAGUGAAAUUGAAAUCGCUGUGAAGAUGCAGUGUAUCCGCGGCUAGACGGAAAGACCCCGUGAACCUUUACUGUAGCUUUGCACUGGACUUUGAGCCUGCUUGUGUAGGAUAGGUGGGAGGCUUUGAAGCGUGGACGCCAGUUCGCGUGGAGCCAUCCUUGAAAUACCACCCUGGCAUGCUUGAGGUUCUAACUCUGGUCCGUAAUCCGGAUCGAGGACAGUGUAUGGUGGGCAGUUUAACUGGGGCGGUCUCCUCCUAAAGAGUAACGGAGGAGUACGAAGGUGCGCUCAGACCGGUCGGAAAUCGGUCGCAGAGUAUAAAGGCAAAAGCGCGCUUGACUGCGAGACAGACACGUCGAGCAGGUACGAAAGUAGGUCUUAGUGAUCCGGUGGUUCUGUAUGGAAGGGCCAUCGCUCAACGGAUAAAAGGUACUCCGGGGAUAACAGGCUGAUACCGCCCAAGAGUUCAUAUCGACGGCGGUGUUUGGCACCUCGAUGUCGGCUCAUCACAUCCUGGGGCUGAAGCCGGUCCCAAGGGUAUGGCUGUUCGCCAUUUAAAGUGGUACGCGAGCUGGGUUUAGAACGUCGUGAGACAGUUCGGUCCCUAUCUGCCGUGGACGUUUGAGAUUUGAGAGGGGCUGCUCCUAGUACGAGAGGACCGGAGUGGACGAACCUCUGGUGUUCCGGUUGUCACGCCAGUGCAUUGCCGGGUAGCUAUGUUCGGAAAAGAUAACCGCUGAAAGCAUCUAAGCGGGAAACUUGCCUCAAGAUGAGAUCUCACUGGGAACUUGAUUCCCCUGAAGGGCCGUCGAAGACUACGACGUUGAUAGGCUGGGU